rnacentral:sRNA from 2 species
UUUUAGCCCAGAUGGAAACGGCAUCCUUUUUCUUUUUUCUUUAAAAAGAAAAAGAUAUAGUGUACAGCUGGAAAUAGC